AAAUUUGGGUCAGCCUUGUCAAGGAUUUGGUAAUGAAACCAGAUUCAUAAACGAAUCAAUGGAAAAAUUGAAAUGACUGACGGGUGUUUUUCUCGUGGUCUUUUAUCUUCUUUUUUCCAUUCUUUCUUUUAUAUCUUUUCGUAAAGUACACGAGGCAGAUUGUGCACUAAAGAACAAUGUACUGCUGGCGCAUUGUUUUCCCGUGCGCAUGCGCAUUAGUAUUUCCUGCUUUCUGCAGCCUACCGGAAGAAACCUAUCUCGAUUUCAAUUGUAUCCCAAUUAUUAUGCUUUUCUAGGAACUAUUCCAUUCUAAUAUAACCAACACGUUCUCUGACAUCUUUCUGCAUCGUUAGAGAAAUGCAAUCCGGUAUAUCAAAGAGAAAAAAAAGAGAAAUGUUGAAUUCCGGAAAUCCAAUAUGGUUCCCGGGCGCUUCAAAAGAAUGUUCAUAAAGGGGAUUCAGCAGUGACGAAAAUGAUUUCUGCUAAGGACAAGUGCUUUGGAUUAAUAAUAAAAAGAUAUAUCCAGUGUACCAGCGGAUCUUAACCCUUAAGGGUUCGGUAUUUCGAUAAGGUUACCUUCUUUCGAAACGAUUCUCUUAUCCCAAAGGUCAGAUCCUAUUUAAGAUGAUGUGAGAUUAGGGGAUAUUCGACUAUCAAUCAUGAAGGGAUGAAGUUCGGUAUCGUUUAAACCAUAUGGGACACGGCUGGCUACAGAAUUACACGAGGAGUCGCGAGUCAACGACAGCGCCAUUGUAAAAAGGCCGAUGGGCUCUUUGGCGCGUAGGCAUUUGCGGUCGCAGGACGGCAACUUCUUGUCGGAGACGCGAACGACACGCGGUUAGUCAUCAAGAAGGAGAACUCAAGUCCCCAGGUGCCCUUCAUCCUCAUCCUCCUCUACAUUCUCUGUCUACCCAGCAGUUGACCAAAACCACAAGCCCCUCGCCGACGCGGACCCUGUGAUAUUAACUAUCUGAUUGGUUGAAGGUGUAUAAACCACUGAAGGUUAGCCAUACUCUAGGAACAAUCAAAUGACGAUGUGUCAUUUAAUUUAAUAUCGAAGAAACUUGAAUGAUCGGUUAACCUAUUCCGAUUGUGUUGCUAAAGGAAGGAUCAAUCGAGACGCUAUCAGCCUAAGGAAUCGUACGGGUGGUAUCGCAUCGCAACGAAGCCGACGGCUAGUGAUACCGCACGAGUCGAGUUUUCGUAUCUGUCGCUGGAAUAUGAGAUCGACCGCAUGCAUAACUCGAGUGCUUGAUAGUGGUCGGCCUCACCGCAAAGCCUUCGCCUGAGCAGUCCCGUGUCUGCGUGUCAAUAACUUGGGCAUUUGGCAGUCGAAAAGAAAUUCCGCAGGAGGCGCUGCUUGUCAUCCUUGUGAAUAAUAUGAAGGACUUGAAUUGACUACAGUCAGUUUCAGGAUACGAAGAGACAUGAAACCCUCAUAAGUCAAGUUGAGUUCGGAGGACAAGAGAUGCUUGAGGAUGUAUCAAGAGAAGAAUAGUAGGAGAACGAGAGAGCUAAAGAGAUGAGAGACAAUCGACUAUAAGAGGAGUACGCACUCAAAACCCUCACGACCCGCGAAACCGCUGCUGUUUCGCAUUUCUCGUCCCUUUGCGUGACGUCCUCCUGAAUAAUCCUGGACAUCUAAGACCCUGUGGCUAAUCCAAUAACUCAUACUCGUGGACGAUGCCCUUGUUUUGGGUCCAUUUGCUCAAGAUUUCAAUAAAUAUGACAAGUACAAUUUCGAUAAGGAUAUAACAAUACUUGAAGCAAGGAUGGAAGGAAAAGUUCCUCAAGUUCCUGAUUCUAAUCCAUGAAAUAAUCCAAUCGAAGCUGAACCUUGUCCUUCCAAGAAGAGAUGGCGCCACGGUCAGUCAAGAAUGAUUGGGGCCACGAAGCUGUACGUAGCAGUGACGUGUGUCAUUGCGUGAAAAAAUAUGCCGGGACAGCAGAAGCAGAACGAGAUUGACCAACAGGAGAGCGUUAUAAUAGCGGGGUGUCCCAGUACCCCGUCGCCCGCCCGUCAUCAGCGCGUCAGCAGGCGCCCCGCGCCAGGAG